rnacentral:rRNA from 1 species
GAUGAACUCUAGCUACAGGCUUAACACAUGCAAGUCGAGGGGCAGCAUUUUAGUUUGCUUGCAAACUGAAGAUGGCGACCGGCGCACGGGUGAGUAACACGUAUCCAACCUGCCGAUAACUCCGGAAUAGCCUUUCGAAAGAAAGAUUAAUACCGGAUGGCAUACGAAUAUCGCAUGAUAUUUUUAUUAAAGAAUUUCGGUUAUCGAUGGGGAUGCGUUCCAUUAGUUUGUUGGCGGGGUAACGGCCCACCAAGACUACGAUGGAUAGGGGUUCUGAGAGGAAGGUCCCCCACAUUGGAACUGAGACACGGUCCAAACUCCUACGGGAGGCAGCAGUGAGGAAUAUUGGUCAAUGGGCGCGAGCCUGAACCAGCCAAGUAGCGUGAAGGAUGAAGGCUCUAUGGGUCGUAAACUUCUUUUAUAUGGGAAUAAAGUUUUCCACGUGUGGAAUUUUGUAUGUACCAUAUGAAUAAGGAUCGGCUAACUCCGUGCCAGCAGCCGCGGUAAUACGGAGGAUCCGAGCGUUAUCCGGAUUUAUUGGGUUUAAAGGGAGCGUAGGUGGAUUGUUAAGUCAGUUGUGAAAGUUUGCGGCUCAACCGUAAAAUUGCAGUUGAAACUGGCAGUCUUGGGUACAGUAGAGGUGGGCGGAAUUCGUGGUGUAGCGGUGAAAUGCUUAGAUAUCACGAAGAACUCCGAUUGCGAAGGCAGCUCACUAGACUGUUACUGACACUGAUGCUCGAAAGUGUGGGUAUCAAACAGGAUUAGAUACCCUGGUAGUCCACACAGUAAACG